rnacentral:rRNA from 1 species
CCUACGGGUGGCAGCAGUGAGGAAUAUUGGUCAAUGGACGAGAGUCUGAACCAGCCAAGUAGCGUGAAGGAUGACUGCCCUAUGGGUUGUAAACUUCUUUUGUACGAGGGUAAACGCAGAUACGCGUAUCUGUCUGAAAGUAUCGUACGAAUAAGGAUCGGCUAACUCCGUGCCAGCAGCCGCGGUAAUACGGAGGAUUCAAGCGUGAUCCGGAUUUAUUGGGUUUAAAGGUUGCGUAGGCGGUCGGAUAAGUUAGAGGUGAAAUCCCGAGGCUCAACUUCGGAAUUGCCUCUGAUACUGUUCGGCUAGAGAGUAGUUGCGGUAGGCGGAAUGUAUGGUGUAGUGGUGAAAUGCUUAGAGAUCAUACAGAACACCGAUUGCGAAGGCAGCUUACCAAGCUACUUCUGACGUUGAGGCACGAAAGCGUGGGGAGCAAACAGGAUUAGAUACCCUUGUAGUC